rnacentral:lncRNA from 1 species
CCAAGUUAACUUCGUAAACGAUGUUCCGGAAAGCCAGUGACAACGGCAAGGAAGGUAGGAGAACUUCUCCAACACCUCCAUCUUCGAUAUCCUCAGCUGCAAAAAAGUUGUAAGUGUAUUUUUUGUGCUUUCAUGUCCUUUGAGCUGAAGUCACCAACUCACCUUUUUUUCUUGCAGUUGCCUCGCUACUGUUGCUGUAAAUUGCGGUGCAAGGUUUUCUCAGAGCUGUCACAAGACCUGGUAAGUUUUCUCGCCACCAAUAACUUGUCCGUCUAUCACUUACGGUUAAGGUAUGUAAGUGCUAGAACGUAGAGUGCAUUGAACACCAGUGUUGAGAUAACCAGUCCUGCGAGUCCAAUCCAGUACCAUUCUGGAUUUGGAAACAUUCCUCGGGUCUUUAGCAAAACCUCCCCAACUGUGUGUGAAGUUCCAGUUCCAAAUGUUGGCUGCAUGUGUUUUCAGACAAUUAUCCAUUGUAGAUUGGUGCUUUCGUACCUUGCUCCACCGUUGCGCAUAGAACUCAUUGACAGCUAAAGCGUUCUGGCCAUACAUGUAAGGAGAUGUCCAGUAGCUCCAUAGCCACCAUGGUUGGAUGUUUUCUGGAGAGUCGUUUCUUAAAUACUAACCUUUAGUUUUCUUGCAGGAAGUACCUCUUGAUUUCAAAUAGCCUCCAUUUGCCACCGUUGUUAUGAAGAAGAAGAAACCGAACGUACUCGUAAUUGUUGGACUUCGAGCGAUGGCUCCAAUGCACCGAAACAUGGCGAACGAAGCUUGGUUCACCAAGAACAGUAGCACAAAGUGCUUGAAAAAUCUGUGAGUAGUCUCUUUAUCCCGCACUUUAGGACCAUAGGAAACUGACUUACCUGGUAAACUCGGGAGCAAACCCAACUCCCCAGUAUGUAAUGCAGGUCCAGAUUGCCACGUCCAUGAAACUCAUCGGGAUCCUGAAAAAUAUCGUUGGCAAUGCCCAAGACCAAGCGGGAUAAAACUGCGAAUCUCGUUGCUUGUAAAAGGCUUGAAGUCUCGUGAUUGUGAGUGUCAUCUCAGGUAAUCCACGGUACAUGAUAUUCAUGAUCAUGUAGAACAGAACACCCAUAAAUUUGUUUGCAUCUUGGACGGUCUCAUGAUGCAUUGUUGUUCGCAGGAAUAUGGUCGAGACAAUCACCGCUAUAAUCGAGCCCUUUAAAAAAUAAUGGUGUUGGUUUCCUUUUUAUUAAAAAGGUGAGACUCACCUGAAUUACGUUGCUAGUCACAUGAACGUAGAGAUUACGUUUUAUCAGUAUGAUUUCUCUUGAGCAGCAGGCCAGAAACAGCUUCCAGGAACUCAUCUUUGGUUCCUUUUUCCCUGCAGGAUAAACUUUCUUCAAGUCCUUGAGCGUGAAUUCAUCAGCCCGGUAUCGUUGAAAAGCAGCAGCAAAAUCUUUUCCCGAUACAAACCGGUAAGCUUCUUUAUCACCGCACCAAUAACCUUUUUGAUCUUUUCUUGACACUACCUGCAUUUCCCAAGACUUUAGAGGAACAUGAAUGUGUUGUAUACGACUGACCUCUUGUAAAUAAUCUGCUACUCCUUUUCUUGCAGGACAUUUGAAGCCUUGGGCCUCAAGAAAUUGUAGAACACCUUCUCGAGUUCCAUGGUAUACUAUAUGUCCUUCCGCAAGGAGUAUAAGAUCGUCAAACAGCUCGAAAACCUCUGGGGGUGGUUGCAGCAGCGAGAUCAGCAUCGUUUUGCUCAAAGCUUUCACGGUUUGCUGCAGGAAACUGAUCAUUCGGUACGUGGUGGAGCUGUCCAGUCCCGUAGAAAUUUCAUCCAUGAACAAAAUUCUUGCGGGACCAGCCAGCACUUCUCCUGUAAGUGAUUGUUCAUGGUUAAUAUUAAAGUUUUUGGUUAUUGGUGAUGCUGACCUGCUGUGAGUCUCCUUUUCUGUCCUCCAGAUAUUCCUCGCUGAAGAGCAUUGCCUACGAUUGUAUCGGCGCAAGUGUCCAUGCCAAGAACCUGAUUCCAUAUCUCGCUCGAGUUUGAGAACCUUGAAAGGGUUAUAAUGGACAGAACAAACCUGGAUCAUGUAUUCGCACAUGAUGCUGGGCUUUGCAUCGUCACCAGCAGC